rnacentral:lncRNA from 9 species
UGCAGCCUUGGCAGCCAUAUUAUAUUUCAAGAAAAUGAAAAAGAAGAACUGUUAUUUGAAAAUUCUGGAAAAUUGGCAGGAGUGUCACAAUCUUACUCUUAAACAAAAUAUAUUAAUCCUGUGACAGACCCAAAUAGGACCAUUUGGAAUUUGGGGAUACUGGCUGCUACACUGCUCUGCGGCAGAAGUCGGCCUGCCGUUCGACGAUAAAAAGGAGUUCCUGCUAUGGCGCAGUGUGGGGCAGAAGCGAGCUGAAGGCCAUCCUUUCGCUGGGCCUGAUGGACAGACAGACCUCUCCCUGGGGACAAAAUACCUGGGCCUAAGGAAUUCCCAGCCAGGACAGACCACAGCCACAACUUCCCUGCCCUGCACAGGUGAGUGGGUGCCCACAGGGGCUUUAUUGGCAACUAAUCAUAAACCCCAACU